rnacentral:tRNA from 1 species
AUUUGGGUAGCUUAAAAUUAAAGCACAUCUCUGAAGAAGAUAAGAUAAGAUUCUUCCCAAAUA